rnacentral:lncRNA from 1 species
CCUACUUUGAACAAGUACCAUACAGAGAUUGGGGUAAGGGUGAGUGUAGAUGCUAAUGCACAGCCACGUGUAAUGAUGCCUUGUCUACUUUUCCACCAGAGACAGGAUCGGCUUCAAAGCAACUUCUGUGUUUCUGGUACUAAAAGGCAAGAAUCCCUGAACGUCUGCAGCUUACCCAGAAGGAGCCUGGGAUGGUCAGUGAAUUUGAGACUGGAUGUCAACAUGGCCUGGGAGAGGCAGGAAGCAUGAGGUUUGGAUUACCGGGGAUCGAACUCAGGACCUUGUGCUUAUGAGGCAGGAGCUGGAAGCUGCACGUCAACCCCUUUACAACUGGAGUGGUGGUCAGAUCUAGGGACACAUUCAGUUCUCUGUGUAGAGUGGACUCUUCCCUCUGACCCACUGUUUCUCCCAUGCCAAAGUCCAUUAUGCACUUGAAGGGCAAAAGCAUGGCUUGGUGGCUAUAACUUGGGAGACCUGGACUCGGCAGUGCUGUCCCUCAAAUGCUUGCUGCUGGAGCUCUGGGACAGUGUUUCAGUUACGGCUCCCCCUGUGGUCACUGAAGAAAGAAAGAUGGCAGACACAUGCGUGUGCAUAUGUGAACGUUCAUAUUCACU